rnacentral:rRNA from 1 species
AGGGUGUAAACGCUGCAGACUUGGUGUUGGAGGCCCUUUGGGGGCAUUCAGUGCCGGAGAGAAGUUGUUAAGUCUGCUACUUGGGGAGUACGUCCGCAAGGAUGAAACUUAAAGGAAUUGGCGGGGGAGCACCGCAACGGGAGGAGCGUGCGGUUUAAUUGGAUUCAACACCGUAAAACUCACCAGGGAAGACUGUUACAUGAAGGCCGAGAUGAAGACUCUGCUAGAUUUCCAGAGAGGUGGUGCAUGGCGUCAGUGACU